rnacentral:rRNA from 1 species
CCUACGGGGGGCUGCAGUGGGGAAUAUUGCGCAAUGGCCGAAAGGCUGACGCAGCGACGCCGCGUGGGGGAUGAAGCAUUUCGGUGUGUAAACCCCUGUUGCUCGGGACGAACAACUGGAUUCUUCCAGUCUGACGGUACCGGGUGAGGAAGCACCGGCUAACUCCGUGCCAGCAGCCGCGGUAAUACGGAGGGUGCGAGCGUUGUCCGGAAUCACUGGGCGUAAAGGGCGCGUAGGCUGUCUGCUAAGCGAAAGCUCGGGGCUCAACCCCGAGUCUGCCAUGCGAACUGGUGGACUUGAGCACUGUAGAGGCAGGUGGAAUUCCGGGUGUAGCGGUGGAAUGCGUAGAGAUCCGGAAGAACACCGGUGGCGAAGGCGGCCUGCUGGGCAGUAGCUGACGCUGAGGCGCGACAGCGUGGGGAGCAAACAGGAUUAGAUACCCGGGUAGUC